GCUUCACGCACAAUAUCGCGUUAUUAUCUUUCGAGGCACGACGAUUGCGAGAAGCCCUUGUAACUAUAAUCGUUGCAUUAUUUCUCAGGACAUCAAACGCGUACAUUUCUUACGGUAGCUAAUGAUCGCAAGUACUAAGAGACGCUCGCCGCGAUUAUUUUUGUCGUUAUAUGAUCAGCUCGUACGUAUUGAAUAAUUCCCACGUUUGAGAAUCGUGCGCGAUUGUAAUUAACGGUAUACGUGAGUGUUGCGUUGUGUGGCCAAAACUAAGGAAGCUGAGAGGAGGAGGAGGUCUGGGAGGCAUCGGGCGACGACGGAGCAACUACAAGUUCAACGUAAUUCAACGCCGAAAUCAAGGAACCUGAGAGGAAGAGGGGGCCUAGGAGGCAUCGGGCAACGGCGGAGCAACUAUAAGUUCAACGUAGUUUCAACUCCGCUGCUGCGCAUCGUUCGGUGAGUCUCUUAUUUUGAUUUACGAGGCAUUAUGAAUCUGUGAUAAUGAUCAAACGUAUAAGAU